rnacentral:rRNA from 1 species
UACGGAGGAUGCGAGCGUUAUCCGGAUUUAUUGGGUUUAAAGGGUGCGCAGGCGGAGGCACAAGUCAGCGGUAAAAUCGCGGGGCUCAACCCCGCUCCGCCGUUGAAACUGUGUCCCUUGAGUGCGCGAAGGGUAGGCGGAAUGCGUGGUGUAGCGGUGAAAUGCUUAGAUAUCACGAAGAACUCCGAUUGCGAAGGCAGCUCACUGGACUGCAACUGACACUGAGGCUCGAAAGUGUGGGUAUCAAACAGG